GAUGAACGCUGGCGGCGUGCCUAAUACAUGCAAGUCGAGCGAACAGACGAGGAGCUUGCUCCUCUGACGUUAGCGGCGGACGGGUGAGUAACACGUGGAUAACCUACCUAUAAGACUGGGAUAACUUCGGGAAACCGGAGCUAAUACCGGAUAACAUGUUGAACCGCAUGGUUUAACAGUGAAAGACGGUCUUGCUGUCACUUAUAGAUGGAUCCGCGCCGCAUUAGCUAGUUGGUAAGGUAACGGCUUACCAAGGCAACGAUGCGUAGCCGACCUGAGAGGGUGAUCGGCCACACUGGAACUGAGACACGGCCCAGACUCCUACGGGAGGCAGCAGUAGGGAAUCUUCCGCAAUGGGCGAAAGCCUGACGGAGCAACGCCGCGUGAGUGAAGAAGGUCUUCGGAUCGUAAAACUCUGUUAUUAGGGAAGAACAAAUGUGUAAGUAACUAUGCACGUCUUGACGGUACCUAAUCAGAAAGCCACGGCUAACUACGUG
rnacentral:rRNA from 1 species